rnacentral:rRNA from 1 species
CACGUAGGGGGCAAGCGUUGUCCGGAAUUAUUGGGCGUAAAGAGCUCGUAGGCGGCUUGUUGCGUCGACUGUGAAAACCCGCGGCUUAACUGCGGGCUUGCAGUUGAUACGGGCAGGCUAGAGUUCGGUAGGGGAGACUGGAAUUCCUGGUGUAGCGGUGAAAUGCGCAGAUAUCAGGAGGAACACCGGUGGCGAAGGCGGGUCUCUGGGCCGUAACUGACGCUGAGGAGCGAAAGCAUGGGGAGCGAACAGG